AGCAAAGUUUUUAAUGUCAACAUAUAAGCACCCCUUGUGCACUUUCCAGAGGACAUCGGUACAUCGCCGCAGGAUUAGGACGAUGGAGCUGGAGAUGGAGACAUAUCCAUGCAUGCGCCGGCGAAUCGCCAAUCAACAUCAUCGUCAACGGCGACGGCGACUAUAACCGCAGCCAUCACAAAUGCCAUUAGAGAGGCAACUGGGUUGUGGCCCCCAGCAAGGACAUUGCGCCGCUUCCACUCACCACCCACCAGUCAGCAGGAACAACGAGGUCCUAGUGGCAUUAGUAACCACCAAGCCCUCUCGGAAAAAUACAGAACGGCAGCU
ensembl:ncRNA lncRNA:CR46116 long non-coding RNA:CR46116